CUCUACAGCCAUACCACCCUGAACGCACCCGAUCUCAUCUGAUCUCAGAAAAAUAGAAACAGGGUUUCGCUGUGUUGC
rnacentral:rRNA from 1 species